rfam:TPA: Bos taurus chromosome 12, whole genome shotgun sequence.
UCCCUGGCAGUCCAAUGGUUAAGACUCUGUGCUUCCACUGCAGUGGCACAGGUUCAAUCCCUGGCCAAGGAA